AAUAUGGCUAGUGGGUGUAAAAGAUAAAUAUUAUUCUAUCUGUUCUUCAUGAGUUUUAGAUAAUUUUAGUUGUAUUUCUUUGUAAUUUUGUGUUGUACAAAGAUUAAUUUAACAUUUUCUCUGGAAGUAUUAAUUUAGAAAGAUAAUAUGCUUCAUUGGUGUUGUGUUUUGAAGUGUGAAAUGCAAAGUAAUUGUGAUAAAGUCAAGAUAAAGUUCACUUUUAAACUGAACUAAAUAAGGUAUCUGAGAGACAACAAUGGUUAAAUGCAAUAAAAUGUACAGGUUUUACUAGCGAAAUGAAAAUUCUCCUGUCUGCUGUAAUCAUUUUAUAUCUGGAAAAUAGGAAAACCAGCCGACUUAAUCGAUAAUAACAAUCUCCAGAUUGGGUUCCUUCAAUAAAUAUGGGCUAUAAACACAAUGAAAUAAGUUCCCCAAAAUCUAAAAUGGAGUGGUAUCAAAGGAGAAUUAAGGAAAAAAUAUUCAUAUUGAAAUUAUUUAUAAGGCACUGGACUGUCUUAAAUUCUACAAUAAUACUAGAAUCAGCUGAGAGAAGUGGUCUACAAAAAACCAGGAAGGAAACGGAAUAUGUGGCUACGAAAGGCAAAAGAAAGGUUUACAAAGCAAAUGUGACACAUUUUUUUGAAAUAUUUAGGAAUAUCAGUAAAUUGCAUUAAAAAAAUGUAUGAAAAGAUUUUG